rnacentral:rRNA from 1 species
UACGUAGGGGGCAAGCGUUGUCCGGAAUUAUUGGGCGUAAAGAGCUCGUAGGCGGUUUGUCGCGUCUGCCGUGAAAGUCCGGGGCUCAACGUCCGAUCUGCGGUGGGUACGGGCAGACUAGAGUGAUGUAGGGGAGACUGGAAUUCCUGGUGUAGCGGUGAAAUGCGCAGAUAUCAGGAGGAACACCGAUGGCGAAGGCAGGUCUCUGGGCAUUAACUGACGCUGAGGAGCGAAAGCAUGGGGAGCGAACAGG